rnacentral:lncRNA from 1 species
UAUAACUAGAGUGAAAUUUUUAUGAUUUUUCAUUAUAUAGUAUAAUUAUGUGAUUUAGGUAGAUUUUUUAAUUUAAUAAUUAUACGAUUAUCUUAUCCAUUUAAAAGUUUAUUCUAUGAUGCGGUUAAAAGUUAAAAAACUUAACGUACUAUUUGUAUCAUUAUUCUUUUUUGUCUUAACUGACUUUAAUUGAUUAUUUUCUUUUUACUAUGUUAUUUAAAUUUUAACAAACUAAAACAUUUGUUAAUAUUAUGAAAUAAAUGAAGGUAGUAAGGAUUUUUUGAUGUAUUUAUAUUUUACGGUGAGGGUGGGAGGUGAGGGAAGGAGUGGUGAAAGGAGAAAUGGGAGGACAUGAAACCGAAUACUUAUCAAUUAAUGAGACCUCACACAAGUAUGACAUUUCAUACAUAUUAAAAUUUUUCCAGAUCUACAAAGGAACGUAUUUUUAAAAAAUUUUUAGGGGUAAAAAUAAAAGGAAAUCCAGUGGUUUUUUCUGGUCAUAUUUCACCGAAGCAGCGCCGGAAUGCCAAAACCCGACGAGAUCUGGAGCGGAAAUGGGAGACAGCACCCAAUUUUACUGGUGAAGGGAUAACGCAAAAGGGGGAAAAAGGGCCGCCAGCGAGUCGAUGGGAAUGGCGGGGAAUUGGAUCGUUGUUCGGUCCGCACCGGAGAAGGGAACGGAGGGACGACUACCGACCAUGGUUGUUGCCAUGGCGGUUGGAGUGCCGGAUAAAGAAAACGGGUGAGAGAGGUGGUGGCUAGUUCGUGGCUGGAGUAGUUGUUGUUGUUCCGACGGAUGGUGAAGGAGGCAACGCUGGUGGGGUUGGUCGCGGCUCUCCGGUGGAUCUCGACUUGGAGGGUCUGAUUUGGGUGGUUAGGCUCGGCAUUUUCACCGGCAAAAGCGGCUGGCGGCUGAGGGUGAGGCGAACGGUGACGCUGGAGGAUUUCCGGCGAGUUGGUUCGCCGGAUUUAGGGAGUGUGGGGUGGAACCGGUAGUUUUUAUCGGUUGGGUGUCAUUUUCCGGCGAGAAAUCGCCGGGAAAAUCAGAACAGAGUCACUCAGUUCAUUGUUAUUUUCCCCUUAUUUUUCUUUCUGAUUUUCCUCCUCUUUGUCUCUCCGAGUUUUCACUGGUUUUUGUGUGUAUGUGUGUGAAUGUGAGUCUUUUUAUGUUUUUUUCAGAAAAAAUGGAGGUGGUAUCACUGUUAUAUGUGUUUUUUGUGAGAGGUAUGUGUGAAUAAUGGGGUCUACAGAUGUAGGGGUGUCAUUCUGUGAGCGUGUGUAGUAUGUGUUUUCUCCUGUUUUUCCUUUCUUUUCACUGAUGUUUUUUCCUCCUUUCCCACUGCCUGUGUGCAUAUUUUCUCUCUAUCUGUGUGUAUAGCGAGUAUUUUCCUCUUUUUUUUUGCUUAAUUUGAUAAUAUUAACACAAUAUUUUAACAUUCAAUACAUCUACAUACAAAUACAUUAAAUAUCGUGUAACUUGAUCAUAUAACAUGUAAUAAUAUAAAAUUUACAUAAUCAAUUAAUUAUAUAAAUUAAACAGUGCUUAAGAUCACUUGAACAUUCCAUUCAUACUUUUCGCAAGAAAUUUACAACAUUAAUAGAAGUAGAAUCAAAAUAAAAUCUAUAUGUCAACUUAAUUAAAUACGAAAGCAAGACGUUAUUAUCGAAAACUCAAACGAAAAUCAUGAAACUCAAAUCAUAAUUCUUUCUCUGUUUUGGUUUUCUUUCUUUUCCUGAUUUUUUUUAUUUUUGUUGUUCUUUGCUCUUUUCUCUGGUUUUCUCUCCUCUAUUUUUUUUCUCAAUUUCAGUGUGUAUCUGAUGUUGUCUGAUCUUUCUUUUUUGUUCUCUAUGUGUGAUAAUGGGGUGUGGGAGAACAGUUGAGUGAAGAUAGGAUAGUGGGGUAGGUUUGAUAAUUUUUUUAGGUUAAUUAUCUUUUUUUUUUUUUAAAUUUAAAGUAAAUAAUAAUACAACAAUAACAUACUCAG